rnacentral:rRNA from 1 species
GUAAGGGCGUGUGGUGGAUGCCUAGACUGAAGAAGGCGACGAAGGACGCGGCUUAGCUGCGAUAAGCUCCGGUAAGAUGCCAAGCAAUCGUUAUACCCGGAGAUUUCCGAAUGGGGCAACCCUAUCAAGUAAUCCUUGAUAACUCUCAACUUAAUCGUUUGAGAGAGCAGACCUCGGGAAGUAAAACAUUUCAGUACCGAGAGGAAAAGAGACCAACAGGUAUUCCCUUAGUAGCGGCGAGCGAAACGGGAAAAGCACAAACUCAGCCACAAAAUUUGUUCAGAAUUAAGGUUCGACCUUGGGGAUUCUUAAGGUUGAACCUUGAGAACAAAUUUUGGGGAUGGGGGUUAUAAGGCUACAGCGCUAGCAAUAGGUAGAGUCAAAAAAUGCUUAGAUAGAGGAAUCUGCUGGGAAGCAGAGCCCCAGAGGGUAAUAGCCCCGUACUCGAAAUCAAAGCAUCUCUAUGGCUGUAGUUCUUGAGUAGCUCGAGACAUGAAUAGCUCGGGUGAAUUCGCCGGGACUAACCGGUAAUGCUACAUACUUCUUCAGAUCGAUAGUGAACAAGUACCGUGAGGGAAAGGUGAAAAGAACCCCGGUGAGGGGAGUGAAAUAGAACUGAAACCACAUGUCUACAAGGAGUUGAAGAGGUCGCAAGACCUCGACAGCGUGCCUAUUGAAGAAUGAGCCAACGAGUUGAUGCAAACGGCUUGGCUAAGUGCGACAAAGCAUGGAGCCGCAGCGAAAGCGAGUGUGAAUAGCGCGUUUGUCGUUUGUAUCAGACCCGAAGCAACGUGAGCUACCCAUGAGCAGGCUGAACUUCUCAGAAAUGAGGAGGGAGGGCCGAACCCUUGGAUUGUGCAACAUCCUGGGAUGACUUGUGGGUUGGAGUGAAAAGCUUAUCGAACGUUGUAAUAGCUGGUUCUCUCCGAAAAAGCUUUCGGGCUUGCGUCGUGUGUUCCCUCUGGGGGUAGAGCACUGGAAGAAGCGGAUAGGUCGAAAGACCACUGCCUCUAUCAAACUCCGAAUACCAGAGGUACAGCGCGGCAGUUAGACUACGGGGGCGAAGCUCCGUCGGUCAAAAGGGAAACAGCCCAGAUCGCCAUCUAAGGUCCCAAAAUCAAUGCUCAGUACAAAUAAGGAGGUGAGAUUUCACAGACAGUGAGGAUGUUGGCUUAGAAGCAGCCACCAUUCAAAGAAAGCGUAACAGCUCACUCACUUAGAGAUCUUGCGCCACAAAUGAUCGGGGUUAAGCAUUGUACCGAAGAUGCGGAUUUUUAUUCUCGCAAGAGAAUUAAAGUGGUAGGAGAGCGUUCGCAUCACGAUGAAGGCAAAGGGGUGACCCAUGCUGGAGUGUUGCGAAGUGAAAAUGUUGGCACGAGUAACCGCAAUGCGAGUGAGAUUCUCGCACGCCGAAAGAACAAGGUUUCCUUCGCAAUGGAGAUCAUCGAAGGGUUAGUCGGGCCUAAGCCGAUGGCGAAUGCCGAAGGCGAUGGACACAUGGUUAAUAUUCCAUGACCUGCGCAUGUUGCGACGGGGGGACGGAGUGCUGUAUUUUGAGCCCAUUAUUGGUUUUGGGUUCGUGCCGUGAGUGUGCCGUGUAGGUAAAUCCGCACGGUUAGCGCAAGCGGAGCGGAAAUGUGGAGGCCUCGGCCAAAGCAGAUUCAAGAGAGCGCGCUUCCAAGAAAAACCUCUAAGCAUAAACAUGUGCGGACCGUACCGCAAACCGACACAGGUGUUCAGCUCGAGUAGAGUAAGGCGAACAAGUGAGAGAUCCCCAAGGAACUCGGCAAAAAAGCGGCCGUAAGUUAGCGAUAAGGCCUGCCUCUCGCAAGAGAGGCUGCAAAGAAUUAUUCCCAACCAACUGUUUACCAAAAACACAGCUCCCUGCGAACUCGUAAGAGGAUGUAUAGGGGGUGAUGCCUGACCAAUGCCGGAAGGUCAAGUACGGUCGGUACACGUUCGCAAGAAUGUGUGCUGGCACUGUAUAAGCCCCGGUCAAUGUCGGCGAUAACUAUAAUCGUCCUAAGGUCUCGGUUCUCUUCGAAAGAAGGGGAUCGGGAGGACUGGGACGAUUAUAUAAAGUGAAAAGUGCAAAAGCUGCCUCAUUUCGCGGCAACGCGAGAUAGGUCCUAGAAAACAACAUGGCUAUAUGCUGGGAAGCUCGAAAGAGUGAUCAGCAGGGAAGACUUAAAAAUGUUUGUGGAUUUCGUGAGGGGACUUUGGCAGAUGCUACCCCUUCUCGAGGAUAAUGAUCCGAUUAGAAAAGCUCGCAAGAGCAGCUCGUGACAAAGCUUCGGCUUUGCGGAGACGGUGAGAUGGGCGAUACCUCUCGGGGGUCGCUAAGAGCGCUGCAUAGUUGGGACCGGACAGGAAACUACGUCCCCCAAUGAUGAUUAACCGAACAGGCUCUCACCAAUCGGGGAGUUCUCGAGCUCCCUUUCUACUACGGAGCGCAAAGUGAACCACUUUGCGCCUCUCACGAAAUCCAUGAACAGAAAUAAGAACCCUCAGAUACCAAACGCCGUGCUCCAACGAAUGUUGGAAGAAGAUAUGGUACUUCCUUAAGGGAUGGAACAGCGAAAUUCCUUGUCUGGUAACUGGAUUGCCAGCUUGCGCGGCGACGCGCAUGAAAAAUUCGGCUUAUAACGGUGGAGUCCAAGAUUCGUUCUGGAUAAUACCGUGGGAAGUCGUCCCGAAAGGGAUUGACCCCGUAACGACUUAUGCACCACUAGUCAGUGGCGCAUAGAUAGCCUAGGUAAUACAAUUACAUUGUAUGAACGGCUAUAACACGCCGACUCUCAAAAGAGAUCUAGCGAAUUAUUUCUCUGGUUAUGUAGAUGGCGAAGGAUGUUUCUCGGUAUCGUUUUCGAAACGACCGAAGCUCCUCGUCGGAUGGGAGGUAAAGCCAAGCUUUUGCGUAGGUCAAAACUUUGACCG